AACGAACGCUGGCGGCGCGUCUUAAGCAUGCAAGUCGAACGGCAAGAGAGGAGCUUGCUUCUCUCCUAGAGUGGCGGACUGGUGAGGAACACGUGGGUAAUCUACCCUUAAGAUGGGGAUAGCUGCUAGAAAUAGCAGAUAAUACCGAAUACACUCAAUAUUUCAUAAGAAGUAUUGAGGAAAGGAAGCUACGGCUUCGCUUGAGGAUGAGCUUGCGUCCCAUUAGCUAGUUGGUGAGGUAAAGGCCCACCAAGGCGACGAUGGGUAUCCGGCCUGAGAGGGUGAACGGACACUUUGGGACUGAGAUACGGCCCAAACUCCUACGGGAGGCAGCAGCUAAGAAUAUUCCGCUUUGGACUAAUGUCUGACGGAGCGACGCCUCGGGGAUGAAGAAUUUGUAAAAGCUGCCACACCUUUUUUUUGAUGAAGUAAAAGGAAAAGAGGGGAUGUUUUUCUGUUGACGGUUUUCUGUGAUUGUGCCACGUGUUGUGUGUGUGUUUUUUGUCGUGUGUAGUGCUUUAUAAUGUUUUUUGUUCUCAAUGUUGGUGAGGUGAUGUCUGUUGUGUUUUACUUCAUCCCUUUGUGACUCUUGUGCCUCACUCUAUGAUUGUUGUGUUGUCAGCUUUGUUGUCGUGUUUUGUUUGUGUUGCUUUCUGUGUGUUGCUUGAUGUUGUCUUGCUGCG
rnacentral:rRNA from 1 species